CUGCAUGUAAUAUAUGACAGAUAAAUGCAAACUUUCUUAACCUCAGUAACUUGGAAAUAUUUUUUUUUCUUACUUCACAAACCACGAAGGUAGGAGUUCUUUUUCUCAACUUCUUAACUAGAAUUCCCUGAAAGAGUAAUAGCUGAAUUCCUCUCUUAUCUCUUGUUUAUUUUUAAUGCACCUUGGCUGCAUUUUGCUAGGCAUGUUGUUCUGUAUGUGGAACAGAGAUUUAAUAUCAUUUCUUGAAUCUUUAACGCCACUCCUUUGGAAAGAAACCCAUUCUCUUAACUAUUUUGAAAAAUGCAGCAGAAGCUGUAAUUGUUGAGUGGCUCUAAGUAAAACUGCAGAUUCUUUUUCCACCAGGGAAUGAAAGAGUAUGGUUAUGUGGUAUGUGUAAAAGGCAAAAAUUUCUUGUAGCCAAUAAUUGCACAGGUGAACAUCAACUUCACAAACAGCAGUACUGGUGAAUGUCAACAAAAGUUCUUCAGCUUAGUUGAAAACCACAAGCUAAGGAAGGGACAAAUUGUGCCUUGAGGGCCAGAUCUGCAAGUGGAUCCAUAUGGAGAAAUCUUUAUGUGUUGGGAACAUCAUUCAAGUCAACGGGACGCUGUGAGGGCACAGAAGCUUGCCAGGUCCAAGCAGCAAUUUGAAAAGUGUUUUGUGUUCCUUCAAGGGUUGCAUGGAAGAUGCAUAAAGCUUGAAGGAGGCAACAGAAGGCUGAAACCACUCCUCAUCUUCACAGAGCUGGCAUUGAGACUACCCUAGCAGUCUCCACUGCAUAGGCCAAGGCAGUUUCCUGGGCCUGUCAUACAGACAACACAAUCAACGUGCAAGUUAAAACCCCCUUCAUUUUCCUACCCCAAAUUGUAAGAUGAAUAUAGACUUCACAUCAACUAACUCGUGUCCUACUGUCAUGACUGCAAUGUAAGGGCGGGAUUCCUGGUUUCCCUUUUCAGUCAGGCAUUAGAAGCACCUUCUAUCUAGUGAAAGAAUAAAAAGUGUGCUAUUAAUCCUAUAAAGGGUAAG
rnacentral:lncRNA from 1 species